UACUAAUUGCUCGCCAAACAACUACGAGUGAUAACUUAAAACUUAAAAGACUUGACGGUACUUCAUCCCGACCUAGAGGAGCCUGUCCAAUAACCGACAACCCACGAUUAACCCAACCCUUUCUUGCCCACCAGUCUAUAUACCGCCGUCGCCAGCUUACCUUGUAAAAGAAAUAAAGUGAGCUUAACAGCCCCACACUAAAACGACAGGUCGAGGUGUAACCCAUGAAAAGGACCAAGAUGGGCUACACUCUCCCACCGAGAACACGAAUAACACUAUGAAAUUAGUAUUUGAAGGCGGAUUUAGUAGUAAGACAGGAAUAAAAUACCCAACUGAACACAACGCAAUGAAGUGCGUACACACCGCCCGUCAUCCCUGCCACCAC
rnacentral:rRNA from 1 species